CCUACGGGUGGCAGCAGUGAGGAAUAUUGGUCAAUGGCCGGAAGGCUGAACCAGCCAUGCCGCGUGAAGGUCAGUGCCCUAUGGGCGUUAAACUUCUUUUAUAGGGGAAUAAAGGUAUCCACGUGUGGAUAUUUGCAUGUACCCUAUGAAUAAGCAUCGGCUAACUCCGUGCCAGCAGCCGCGGUAAUACGGAGGAUGCGAGCGUUAUCCGGAUUUAUUGGGUUUAAAGGGUGCGUAGGUUGUUUUUUAAGUCAGCGGUGAAAGUUUGUGGCUCAACCAUAAAAUUGCCGUUGAAACUGGAAGACUUGAGUGUGUUUGAGGUAGGCGGAAUGCGUGGUGUAGCGGUGAAAUGCAUAGAUAUCACGCAGAACUCCGAUUGCGAAGGCAGCUUACUAAGCCAUAACUGACACUGAAGCACGAAAGCGUGGGGAUCAAACAGGAUUAGAUACCCCGGUAGUC
rnacentral:rRNA from 1 species